UACAGAGGUGCCAAGCGUUAGGCGGAAUCACUGGGCUUAAAGCGCGUGUAGGCGGGUCGUUAAGUGUCCGAGUGAAAUCCCAAGGCUCAACCUUGGAACUGCCUUUGAUACUGGGAGGCUCGAGUCCGGGAGAGGUGAGUGGAACUGCGAGUGUAGAGGUGAAAUUCGUAGAUAUUCGCAAGAACACCAGUGGCGAAGGCGGCUCACUGGCCCGGUACUGACGCUCAGGCGCGACAGCGUGGGGAUCAAACAGG
rnacentral:rRNA from 1 species